rnacentral:lncRNA from 1 species
AGCGUCUGCUCCCCAGCCAGGCCUGGCACCAGGUGCUCCAGGCACAAUCUCAGUCAGUCUUCCCAGCUGCUCCAGUGGUGGGGAUGGUUAUCAGCCCACUUUACAGAUGGGCAAAUAAGGAGAGACGCACUGCCUCCCCGAGGCCACAGGGCUAGACGGUGGCUGACCCGUCUGACCCGGGGACAGUGGGGUCCCCGCUCGGUAGCCCAUACAGCCUCCCAUUACCACCCCCACACCUGCCCCUGGAGACGCCCCCAAGACUAACAUGAAGAAUGGACUCCCUUCUCUUAGAACAUACAAGAAAGAUUGGUACUUCUCAAGUUGACAUUUUAUUUAAUCCAGGUGCCUCGGAGCAUACCCAGACUUCUCCCCAGGAAGAGAGACUGACAGCACGUCCGAGACCGGGGGCACAUUCAGCCUUUCCAGUCCUGCUUCCCAGCCUAAGCUCUGGUCUUGGAUCCUGCCCUGUUCCCAGACACUGAGAGAGGAAAGAAAGUCCUUCUAACUGGUCCCCGAGACUCGUGUCCCCAGCGGUCGUCCAUCGGGCUAUUCACUGUGUUCUGCUCCCCAGGCCUUCUGGAAGGACAGUGCUCCCUGUCCCCUUUAAUUAGAUGACUUACCCUGAACAAAAAAAAAAAGAGAUAAAUAAUGUGUGCCACAUCAGGGCAGAGGUAUUAAGAGGAAGUGCACAGUUUCCCACAUUUCUUUCCACGUCCCAGUGAUGAAGGAACCCAUGCUGAAAUGGGGCCUCUGUUAGCCCGGAUGCCUGAGUGACUAUGCAGAGUGGAGACCGCUGCCAACCUUCAUUGUGAGGAACACUACAUUCUUGUGUAAGUAAAGCCGCUGAGAGAUGCGAGGUCGUUUGUUGAUGCAGCAUAACCCAGCCACACACAAACAUACACUCCUACAACCCCCACACAUGUACACACACACACUCCCACAAGCCCCACACACACACUCCUAAAACCCCGCUCGCCCUAGGAUCUGUUUCCCUACUUACAAAACUUCUAACACCAAACGUGUGGGCUUUCCACACCAAUCAAUUCUCCCGUUCUCUGUGGACACCAACUGGAUGUCUUACAAUUUAAUUCAGUUCUGACACUAACUACCCAAAGUUAGCACAGACCCCACAGGUUAAGGGCUCAGUGCCACAAGACUGUUCCCGCGUCAGACGCCAGUGGGUCUCCCAACUCCUCCCGCUUCUGUCUGACUUGGCUACAAAUCGAGGGCUCCCACAACCCCUUGCUCAGGUUUGGUGAUUCGCUAACAACUCACAGAACUCAGGCAAACGGUUUACUUACUGUUACCAGUUUGUUGUAAAGGACACAAGGGAACAGCAGAGGGAGAGGCACAUAGAGCCAGGUCCAGAAUGGUCCCGAGCACAGGAGCCUGUGUCCCUGUGGACUCCGAGUGAGCCACCUCCCAGCACAUGACACCUUUCACCUCCCAACACUUUCACCAGCCGGGCUCUCCAUCCCCCGUGGUUUAGGGUUAUAUGGAGGUUCCAUUACGUAGGUGUGGUUUGUCACAUCAUUGGCCAUUGGUGAUCAACUCAGUCCCCAACUCCUUCCCACUCCCUGGAGGCGGAGGAGUGGGGCUGAAAGUUCCCGCCCUCUGAUCACAUGGUUGGCUCCUCUGGACACCAGCUCCCAUCUUCCAACGGUCACCUCAUGGGCAUAAGCUCGGGUGUUCUUGAAAGGGGCUUGUUAUGAGUGACAGAAGAUGCUCCUCUCACCCCGUCGCUCAGGAAAUUACAAGUGUUUUAGUUGCUCUUGUCCCGGGAUUAGGGGACGAAGACCAAAGACCUGUGUCAGUCACCCCAUCCGCACACUACUGCUUCCCUCCCACUCCCGGGGGCGGGAACGUCUGCUAAGCAUCAGCAAAGUCCUGGUCCUGCGCUUGGCUGCAGGGAACAGAUGAAGAAGGCAAGGCCCCUGCUCUGACCAAACAGACAACAGGGAGACAGAUAUGUAGUCAGUAAACGCGCUUCCACUCCUUCCGUGGGGCAGGGACCACCAGGGCAACAGCUAGCUUUCGUUUUUUCAGAAUCGUCUUUAGUAAAGUUGCAUAAAACUACCUCGUCCUCGUUAAUAGUGGCAGAUUAACUCCACACUCCCUCCACUCAUUCACCCUGUCAUCUCUUUUCCUUUUCUCUCCCGUCCCAUCGCCAUUGCAAGGGCAUGCUGUGUGCCGGGCUCUCCUCCAAGGGCAAUGCGGUGCCUGUGUGGGCGUCCACCAGAUGAAAAAUAGAGUUUGGACAGUCGAGGCAUAGGAACAGCAAAAGUGAAAGAAGGUUAGAGGCAGUCUCUGCACGUUAGGUGUGCUGCCAGACAGGAGGUGCCCAGCAGGGAGUGUGGCUCAAGGUGUGACCGGCAGGUGAGCAAGGCCUGACUGGAGCCUCCACUCGCAUGUAAUUCACUGGAGCUGCGCACCUUGGGGCUUUUAAAGGACUUUGCCUUGGGGCAGCAGGGAGUUAGUUACUGGCCUUAGCUGGAAGGUACAUGACCAGGUGUGCCCUGGAAAGAUCUCAGGGCGCUGUGCAGAGGCGCUAAGAGCCAAGCCAGUGAGAGGCCUGCUGAGCCGUGGCAGGGGUGAGGCCUGGGGCGCUGGGCGGGGGCAGACAAGAGACGACUGACAUUUCAGAGCUAAGAUAGAGUUGCCUCCUCACCUCUCUGUUUUCAAAGUGUACAGAGGUUCCUCAAAAAAUUAAAAAUAGAAUUACCAUAUGAUCCAGCAGUUCCACUUCUGGGUGUUUAUCCAAAAGGAUGGAAAGCAGAGUGUCUAGGAGACGUUUGCACACCUAUGUUCAUAGCAGCACCAUUCGCAAUAGCCAAGAGGAAAGCAACCCAGUGCCCAUCGCCAGAUGAGUGGAUAAACAAAAUGGAGUACGUGCGGACAAGGGCUAUUACUCAGCCAUAAGAAGGAAGGAAGUUCUGACGCACGCCGAAGCAUGGAUGAACUUGGAGGACAUUAUGCUAAGGAAAAUAAUGAGGAAACUGCUGGCUGGAGAAGGUUGCGUGCACCAGGAGCCUCUUGUCCUGGAUGGCAGCAUCCAGCACAUUCGCUGGGCCCCGGAACUCGUCUGACUCCCUAACACGUCCUUCCUCCUGAUGGCAAAGGUGGGUCUUGUCCAAUCAGUCGAAGGCCUGAAUGGAACGAAGCCCAACCUGCCUCCUGAGUCAGAGAGAAUUCUCCUGCCUGAAGCCCUGCAGACUGCAGCACCAGCUUUCUGGCUCUGCAGCAGCUUCCAGCCCUGGACAGAAGCUGCAAAGUUGGCUCUGCAGGUUUUGGAUCUGCCCGCCUCCAUAAUCGCGUGAGCCAAUUCCAUACACACGUGUACAUAAGCUCUAUUGGUUCUUUUUCUCUAGAGAACCCUAAUCCACCAUCUCUGACCGCACGCUGCCGGCCUCCAAGUUGGGGAAAGGCUGGAAAGAGGAGGAGGGAAGCCACCGAAGAGGCCGUCGGUGCUGGCCAAGGGGUUCCCACCAGGCCCCGUGGGUCCACCCUCCCCUCCCCCAGUGGCUGCCCUGGGUUUCUGCUGGGUCUCAGAUUCCUCCUAUGGGAACCGGGAAAUAUAAAGAGGUGACGUGGGCCGAGAGCCAGGUGCCUAGAGGGCCCCCAGCAACGACUGCUGCUUCCUCUGAAGCACAGGCUUGGGCUGCUGCUGGUUUUCUGGGCAGCGGCUGUUCUGUGCUUCCCAACAGAGAGGACAGCACCUUCCAGAGGGUCCUGAGCUGGGACUGAGGUGGGCUUGCGAGCUCUGGGCCGCUCCUUGGCCUCAAGCCUGGAGCUUUCACCCCCAUGGAGGGGAACACCCUUUGCGGGGGGCGGGGUGGGAGGUCAGGGCCUCCCUUGAACCUGGCUCCUGGUCACAUCCCGCACCAUCAGAUUGGGCUAUGGAAGGCAGGAGAGGAGCUUUCCUCUUGGAGCCACCAUUUCUCAGCUGUGUUGCUUUGGGUGCAUUACUUAGCCCCUCUGAGCCUCUGUUUUCUCAUCUGUAAAAUGGGGAUAAGCACACGGGCCUUGCAGGGUCACACAUUCUCCAUGUGUGAAGAAUCUGGGCAGUGCCCAGCACCAGGAGGCCUCAGUCCCCACGGAGCCCAGCCCUGAGCCCAUGGGCCCCCAGGAAAGCGGGAGUUAAACACUCAGCUGUCAGCCAGAGAGCAGGGAAGCCCUGCCGCUGGCUCAGUGCCGGGAACGGUAAGUGCGGCGUGAUUAUGUAAAGCGCAUAAGCGAUUUCCAGCGUAAUUAAGAUGGAUGGCUCCAAUAAUCCUGCAGGGCCCCAUUCCGAGCCGCAGUACCAGGCGUUCACAGGGAGUUUUCGUGCGCUUUGCUUCAGUGAGCACUGGGGCCCAUUAAAGAAAUGCGUGGAAGACCAGGUUCUCCAGCCAACUGCCCUGGACCGAAGGCAGCAGGAGCCUCAGCACAAAGCCCCAGGGGAACUCGGCAGAGCCCCCGUGUCCCAGGGGAGCCGUGGUAACCGCACCGUGCAGGACAGAGCCCUUCUCACGCUCCCUCUCAGACGCGGUCUCCAUGACCCAUACGCCCCUCUGCUGGACUGAAUUGUCCUGCUGCCCCCCUCGUAAGAGAGGAGAGCUCACAAAAGAAGAAACUGAGGUCCCCAGGGGUCGUGUGCCCUGUUCAAGAUCACCCAGCUCACCAAAGACAAGAUCAAAGUCAGACAAAGGGACCUAAAGGUGAUGGGGUUCAGUCUUCCCCCGUGGCAGAAGUCUCUUCUGUGGCACCCGGCCAGCCUUCCGUCCUGUCACGGCUUGAGGGUGAGGGUGCUGAGGAGUCCACUGCAAUAAUAUUGACUGCUGGCAGCCAGC